rnacentral:rRNA from 1 species
CUUGCUGGAUCUUUCUUAGUGGCGACGGGUGAGUAACACGUUGAGCAACCUGCCCUUCAGAGUGGAAUAAACCGUUUUGGAAACGAACGCUAAAUACCGCAUUAACACCAUUUGGAUGGCAUCAUCUGGUGGUCAAAGAUUUAUCGCUGAGGGAUGGGCUCGCGUCCGAUUAGGUAGUUGGUGAGAUAACAGCCCACCAAGCCGACGAUCGGUAGCCGGACUGAGAGGGUGAUCGGCCACAUUGGGACUGAGACACGGCCCAGACUCCUACGGGAGGCAGCAGUGGGGAAUAUUGCACAAUGGGGGAAACCCUGAUGCAGCAACGCCGCGUGAGUGAUGACGGCCUUCGGGUUGUAAAACUCUGUCUUUAGGGACGAUAAUGACGGUACCUAAGGAGGAAGCCACGGCUAACUACGUG